UAAGCACUUUAUAGAUCAAAACAAAUAGAUUUGCUUUUGCAAGAUAUAACAUGGGCUUCUGUGUCAGAGAGAUUCCAGGCUUGGGACUUCCAGUGUGAAAAGGUCUUGAUGCUCCUCUGCUUGCUAGUCCACAGACUAGCUUUAUGAGACUGUGGCUUCCAGUUUUCUCAGCCCAGUCUCUGGGGUUUUGUGUUUUAGCUUUACGGAUUUUGCAGCUCAAAUCCUGCUAUCUUGUGUUUGAUCCACCAACUGCCCAAAGAUACUUAAUCUGCAUUAUUUAUGAAGAGCAGAGUGUUCAGCACUAGAUCUCCAGUCUCAACACUGGGUUCUUCAAAGUCACUGGACUGAAAACUCCUAGUUUUCACAGUGUGGGUCAAGCCAUCACCAGAUGUGGUAAUUUCAUAUUUAUCAUCAAACUUCAACUCUUUCCCACUGAACUUCUGUGUGAAGUUUUGCACUUUAUUUGGCAGGGGGAUUUCAAACAGUGCUGUCUGUCUUUCAGUCACUUUCAGUGGUUUCAGUUCUGUCAGGAGUUAGGGGCCCACCUGCUAAAAUACCAAAAAGAUAAACAUUCACUCUACUAUUUUUAGUUCCUGAUCUCAAAUUUCCUACACUAAAUAGAAAGACAUCAAUGAAGUAAUUUUGCUUUCUUUCUUGAGUGGUAGCAGAAAGAUCAAUUUAUUCCUUCAACUUCAGUGGAAAUUAAGCCACAGUUCAUUAUUUUCAAUAAAAGUUGCACAUAAUCCCACAAAGCUAAUUACCAACAGACACACUGCUUUUCUGUUCAGUUCUUCUGUCUUAGCUCUGCUGUUUCUUCUCCUUUGCUGUAGGUCAUUGUAAAGUAAAUGGUUUCAGGCAACUGCAGAUGAUCUCUAUAAGCAUACCUGGAACCAUUUGGCAAGCUGAAGGAGGGCUGCCAUCUUCCUGCGUUAUCCAUCAAGAGUGCUGCAGUGCCUGGCACAGGAUCACUAUUUGGCUUACGUAAGGUGAUCUACCAUACUACCAAACAGCCUGUGCCCAAGCCCUGCUAGAGGCUUUAUUAAAAAGCCUGAAGACCAAGAAGACAACAGUGGAUGUAGUGAAACUAAUCACAUCUGGUUUUCCUUCUUCUGACACAGGAGUCAAAGAGACAAACAAGCUAAGCAUGCAAAGAAGAAAGAGCAAAAGGACCUAUGCAGGAUUUUUUCCCUCUGCUCUCUGGAGAGAAGUGCUUCCUUUGCCUUUUUAGAGGAAAGCAGACACCUUGUGGCUGCUACUGGGACUAGGGGAGUUAAGGUCAGACAUAAUAAGAAAAUUUUGACUCAGGCAAACACUACUGUUUCCCAAAGGAUAAAUGCCUUUAGUAAGAUGCACAGCACUGCAGACUUCUCUGUCCCAAAACUUCUGAGAUGUAUUGAGGUUAAAAAGUAGGCAGAAGAGGCUGAGCCGUCUGAAUAGCAUCUAGCAAGACAGGCUCUCUUCAAGGGAAGAUAUGAUCCCCAGAAAACACUGGCUAUCAACAUUUUGGACUAAAACUAGUGCAAUAAAGUGAUUUAUUUAACUUAAUUUUAAGCCUAAGAAGCAAUAUGCAGAUUAAGUGAUGAAGAAGCAAUAGGGAACACAAGCUGAGUAGCAUGAUCCCAUAGAGUGAAAGGGCCAGGAACUGCAAUACCUGAGUCUUUUGCCAGACUGUUUAAGCUUUAUCUUCUCUGAUAUGAGCCAUAAGGCUAGCUCUGUUGCCCACACAGCUUUUGAGUAAAUAAUUUAGCCUUUUUCUGCAUCGAUCUUUACUAUCAACUGAAUAAACCUGGCACUGCUGCCCUGCUGAGAA